UUGCUUGGCGAGUUUGGCUUUGUGAAACAGCCUCAUUUUCCUAAUACCUUCUAUCCUUCUUGGAUGUCAGGCUUUGAUAGCAUUAGGGAGAUAAAUUAUGGUAACCAAACAUUUUUUUAACAAGUGUUAACUGAUGCUGUGUUACUAUGAUCUUUGCCUUCCCAUCCCGUCCCCGUCUUCAGGGUCUUUCAGCAUCAUUCCUCAACGCUGCGAGCUCUACAGGUGGCAUCAGAGACAGCGGAGGACUCGCAAACGAGCUGGGCACUUUCCUGGGGACUCUUCCUUACAGCAGCUGCUCCAGGAUGAGGCCAGCCAUCUGUCUCCUAAUUCUGAAAAGAUUCCGACAAAUUUCCUGCACCAGGUCGCACUGUCUCUCUACUUUUAACAUUGAAAGCUUCUCUUCCUUUGCUGAGCUUCUCUCAAAUAUGACAGAAAGAUGAAGGUUGCUUCUUUUCCAUGCCAGAGAGAUCUGUUGAAAUUUCUUGUCUUUGUGCCUUCAUUUGAGGUCCAAGCAUUUGGUUUGGAGAGACAUAAACUUUAUCAUAGAGUUACGUUCACCUUCUGGUUAUGCCAGAUCCCACUCUAGACCUUGGCCCUUAACUCACUGGGUCUCUCCUUGUGUGUUUUUAUUUCAGUGUCUGGACUUAUUUUUAACUGCUCAAAAGAGCUCUGCCAAGGCCUCUGGCUCAGUGCUGCUGAGGGCCUGGUCAACAGAGCAGGUGGUGGCAGCCAGCAGGAAGGAGCAUGAAGAAUCCACAUACUGAGCCCUGGGAUAACAUUCCUCACUUAAUGCUGGUCUACAAAUUAAUUACAGGUUUACUCUGGUUUCAAAUGUGCCAGAGAAGCUUGUCACUUAAAGAAGUUCAAAAAGGAAUUCUUUGUAAAGUAAUGAGUUUUGCAAGUAGGUUUUGCUUUGGAAAAGCAAAAUCUAGAACCAUCAUUUAACUUUUUGACAAUUUGCAUUUGCACCUAUUGGAUUUUCUCAAAGAAUGGCUCACCUCUAUUUACAAAGAAUGAGAACCUUCAGCAUAGAGACUAAAAGUCUUGAAUUUUUAUGCUUUAAUUUGUCUUCCAGUCAGAAUUAUCUUGGUUAUUUGCUCAAUUACAUAAACUACCUUGCCUCUUUGGUUUUGGAAAAAUGACAGUUGUAUACUCUUAGGAUGUGAUAAGAUUUGGGGCACAUUCCUCCAAGGUAACUUCAUGGCUUUUCUUUCCCUGUUCAGAGAGCUGGUUGUGGCAUGAGGCCUGGAGCCUGCAGUCUGGCCCAGUGAACACAGAAUAUCUUCUCUUGAGAAGACCCAGGAAAUUAACUCUGUUCCAUCUGCAUCAUGAACUAGUCCGCAGAGACUCUGACCUGGACCCACACUCUAGGGAUUAGGUUGCAGAGCACCCCAGAAGGAUGACACAGCCACUUACCUGGGCAGGAACACGUCCAUUCUGGCUCGCCUGAGGCUGGAGGUCCAGAUGUGGAUGAUGCUGGCUGUGAGGUGUGGCUCAACGUGGCUCAGCGGGGUGUCUUUGUCACGUGGCAGAACCAAGAGCAGACUCACUGUGUUUCCCAGGGCCUUAGAUCCGUUCCCACAACUGCAUGUCAUAAGCCUGAGGGACAUUCAGAUGUGGCCUCUUUCAGAACUAUGCUAUCGAUUCGAGGAACACAGAGGAAAGGAGGAAAUCUGGAGCUGGAGCAGGUCCUCUCGCCCACUGGUGAGUCAGGGCACAGCUGAACAUCCCAAGCUUCUCUCUCCUGACACAUGGAAGCUGGGCAUUUCCAGCAGUCAGGUCCCCUUCCUGUGCAGGCUGCCUCUGGAACAUGGCCCUUCCCUGCUCCUCCUUGCCUCUCCUUCCUCUUAGGCACAGCUCUGUGGUUAUCCACAAAUCUACCCCCACACUUUGUCCCUUCUUCCUGCACUGCCCUGUCCCUCGCCCAGGGCACCUGUUGGAAUGGAUCUCUGACCUGGCUUGGGGCCCAUCCACUCCAACACCCUUCAUGUCUCAGAGGCCUGCUCAGGGGACAGCAGCAGAGCCCCAAGUUGCCUGGCAAAACUUCUCUGAAGGGGCACAGAUGCCCCCAAUACACCCUGGCCGGGGCGCCCAACCACCGGGCUGCAGCCCACAGCUGUGGACAGAUUUCACUUGCCCAGAAAACUUUCACCACCAAAGCUGCUUGUUAGAAUCCACGACUGUAAAAAACAGACUCGGGUUGUAUAACUCAUGAUUUGCAGCCUGACUCCUUUGCUUUUAUUUUAAUGAGCAAAGAAAUGGAUGAAAAUAAUACUUCUUGUCAGGUUUUCCUCUACUGAGGAAGGUCAUAUGUAUUUAUAGAAUCAUGUCCCUGUAAAAUGUUGACCAUCUUGCAGGAACGAAGUGAGACGUUUCACCGGUCCAUAGUGUAGCGUGACCUCCCUUCUGCCCUCUCACCCAAUCUGGGCCAGGGGACCAGCUGUUCUUUGAGGGAUGACAGGCUACAGACUGUUCCUCCCCAGCAGCCUUGGAAAGAGGAACCUGUCACCGCUGGCUUAAUUCCUCUCCCUGCCCCGCCAGAGAGCGUCUUUCUUGCUGGAGGGCUGGUCAGGUAGAUCUUACAA